GAGGGGGAGCCAAUCCCACCAAACCCGGUCUCAGUGGGGAUUGCAGGCUGCAACUCGCCUGCAUGAACGCGGAGUUGCUAGUAACCGCCGGUCAGCACACGGCGGUGAAUACGUUCCCGGGUCCUGUACACACCGCCCGUCACGUCCGCAAAGUGGGGACCACGCGAAGCCGGUGAUCCGAGCUCGCUUCGGCGAGCCGGUAGCUGUCGAGCGUGGGACUCGCGAUGGGGACGAAGUCGUAACAAGGUAGCCGUAGCGGAAGCUGCGGCUGGAUCACCUCCUUUCUAGGGAG
rnacentral:rRNA from 1 species